rnacentral:rRNA from 1 species
CAUGGCCUUUUGAUAAGUUAAUUUAAGGUCUAACCUGCCCAAUGAUUUUAAAUUUAAUGGCCGCGGUAUUUUGACCGUGCAAAGGUAGCAUAAUCAUUAGUUUUUUAAUUGAAAGCUGGAAUGAAGGGUUGAAUGAGAAAAUAACUGUUUUUUUAAUAUUUAAUUAAAAUUUUAUUUUUAAGUUAAAAAGCUUAAAUUUUAUUUAUAGACGAGAAGACCCUUUAGAGUUUUAUAUAAGUUUGUUUAAAAGUUUUUUAGUAUUAAUUUAAUUAUAGAUUAGCUUAUAUUUAAUUGGGGUGAUUGAAAAAUUUAAAUAACUUUUUUUUUUAUUAAACAUUUAUUUAUGAUUAAUUGAUCCAUAAAUAGUGAUUAUAAGAUUAAAUUACCUAAGGGAUAACAGCGUUAUUUUUUUUGAGAGUUCUAAUCGAAAAAAAAGAUUGCGACCUCGAUGUUGGAUUAAAAUUAAAUUAUGGUGUAGAGGCUAUAAUCGUA